rnacentral:rRNA from 1 species
UUUUAAUAAAGAUUAAGUACUAAAUAGANNNCCCAACANUAGUUGAUUACANUGAACAAGUUACUGUAGGGAUAACAGCGUAAUAUAUAUCUAAAGUUCUUAUUUUGAUAUAAGUUUGCGACCUCGAUGUUGAAUUNAUAUUACUUUCAAGCGCAAGAGCCUGAAAAGUGGGUCUGUUCGACCCCUAAAUAUAUACAUGAUUUGAGUUCAAAUCGGUGUAAACCAGAUUGGUUUCUAUCUAUUNUUAUUUGUGUCUUAGUACGAAAGGACCUGAAACAAUAUUAUAUAAUNAUUUAUAUGGCAGAAAAAUGCUUUAGAUUUAGGAUCUAAUUAUAAUAGAUUAUUAUACUCUAUUUAACUUGCCUAAUCUCUGUUAUUAGAAUCCUUAUCGCAGUAGC